rnacentral:rRNA from 1 species
CCUACGGGAGGCAGCAGUGAGGAAUAUUGGUCAAUGGGCGGAAGCCUGAACCAGCCAAGUAGCGUGCGGGAUGAAGGCCCUACGGGUCGUAAACCGCUUUUGCACGGGGAUAACACCCUCCACUUGUGGAGGUCUGCGGGUACCGUGCGAAUAAGGGCCGGCUAAUUCCGUGCCAGCAGCCGCGGUAAUACGGAAGGCCCGAGCGUUAUCCGGAUUCAUUGGGCUUAAAGGGAGCGUAGGCGGGCGUUCAAGUCAGCUGUAAAAUCGCGCGGCUCAACCGCGCCCCGCAGUUGAAACUGGACGCAUUGAGUUCACAACAGGCAGGCGGAAUUCGUGGUGUGGCGGUGAAAUGCAGAGAUAUCACGAGGAACCCCGAUUGCGAAGGCAGCCUGCCGGGGUGCGACUGACGCUGAGGCUCGAAGGUGCGGGUAUCAAACAGGAUUAGAUACCCUAGUAGUC